AACGAACGCUGGCGGCAUGCCUAACACAUGCAAGUCGAACGAGACCUUCGGGUCUAGUGGCGCACGGGUGCGUAACGCGUGGGAACCUGCCCUUAGGUUCGGAAUAACUCCCCGAAAGGGGUGCUAAUACCGGAUAAUGUCUUCGGACCAAAGAUUUAUCGCCUUUGGAUGGGCCCGCGUUGGAUUAGCUAGUUGGUAGGGUAGAAGCCUACCAAGGCGACGAUCCAUAGCUGGUCUGAGAGGAUGAUCAGCCACACUGGGACUGAGACACGGCCCAGACUCCUACGGGAGGCAGCGGUGGGGAAUAUUGGACGAUGGGCGAAAGCCUGAUCCAGUAAUGCCGCGUGAGUGAUGAAGGCCUUAGGGUUGUAAAGCUCUUUUACCCGGGAUGAUAAUGACAGUACCGGGAGAAUAAGCUCCGGCUAACUCCGUG
rnacentral:rRNA from 1 species